GUCUUAGUAGUAUAACUCAUUACCAUGGUCUUGUAAGCCAUAAAUGAAAGCAACAAACUUUCCUAAGACU
rnacentral:tRNA from 1 species